rnacentral:tRNA from 1 species
GGCUCAGCUUGGCUAGAGCGCCUGGUUUGGGACCAGGAGGUCGCAGGUUCGAAUCCUGUC